AAAUAAUCGAAGACUGGAAAGCAAGAAAAUCCUGCUAUUGGAUAGUAAUAUUAAAUCAGAAUAUACCACAGGAACAAUAUUCCAAUCGAGUUGUUGCUUUGAAUCAACAGACUCGUACCUUGUUGUCUAGUUUAGGAGCAUGGCAACAUAUAAAGGCAGUACGAUAUUGUCCAGUACGAUCGAUCCAGGUAUGGGACGCAAUCGGACGCUAUGAUAACGUUCAAGGAGGAUCUUGUCUGAGGAAUACAAUUGGCAUACAUAGUUGAAAAUGAUCUAGUGUUGCAUGCUGUCAACAUGCAACUUUCUCAGACAACUUUCUCAGAAAGAGAAUGUGACUGUGAUUCACGAAUCUAAGAUCACCGAUGUAAAACUCCUCAAGAAAUUAACCGAAUUUACCUCUAUAAAGAUGGAAUCAGAUAAACGGUACACAGCUGGAUUACUGGUGCAUGUCGUUAGUAAUUCAACUAUGCGAAAAAAGAUGUAUAUGUCCUAUCUAAACUGGCAGCACGAUUUUUGCAAUUCUCAAACUCUCCAAGGUAAUAUUAUCUUUAAAAGUUGCUCGUUGAUAUUUGAAUUUCUUGAGAAAUUGUAAUAUUCCUCAAUCAAUUUCAGUCUACGGAGAACAUCGCCACUUGGCAGAGGUUUCUUCUAAUCGGACUUAUUAUCACGUUGCUUGAGCAAGCCAUGUCAUAAAUUGUGUUGGCGAUUCGCUGAGAAAUUAUUGACCAAAAAAUCGAAGAAUCUUAUGGUAAAUUGAAUUAUGUAUAUUAUAACAAGAUACAAAAAUGUAUAGUAAAAUCAAAAAAGAAACCUGUCAUCCUCUCUAAGAAACAACUGCUAUUAAUU
rnacentral:misc_RNA from 1 species